ACAGCAGUAGCCGCGGGAAUACGUAGGGUGCAAGCGUUAAUCGGAAUUACUGGGCGUAAUGCGUGCGCAGGCGGUUCGUUAAGACAGAUGUGAAAUCCCCGGGCUCAACCUGGGAACUGCAUUUGAGACUGUAUGGCUAGAGUGUGUCAGAGGGGGGUAGAAUUCCACGUGUAGCAGUGGAAUGCGUAGAUAUGUGGAGGAAUACCGAUGGCGAAGGCAGCCCCCUGGGAUAACACUGACGCUCAUGCACGAAAGCGUUGGGAGCAAACAGAAUUAGAUACCCCGGUAGUCCCUGUCUCUUAUAC
rnacentral:rRNA from 1 species